rnacentral:lncRNA from 1 species
GAGGAGAAGCAACAGGAGGAUGGCGCUAGGAAGCUUCGGAGCUAAGGGAAAGUACUGGGGGAAGAAGAAGGCGCGCGCGCUGAGGAAGAAGGACGUGAGCUCGAAAGGAAGGUGCGGGGUGAACUGCUAUUUAAAGGGUGCCUGAUGAAGGGUAAAAAUGGAAUUUUUACCGCGCCGGCGUUUCGAGUUUUUCGGGAGUAGUGGUUGUCGUGGGUGCCCGUUUCGAAAAGAUUGCAAUCAUCAGCUGGAAGACCACGAAAUGGAAGGAUAUUUUCAUUGCGGCUGUUUCGGAGGGGAAGUUGAAA